GACGAACGCUGGCGGCGUGCCUAAUACAUGCAAGUAGAACGCUGAAGGAGGAGCUUGCUUCUCUGGAUGAGUUGCGAACGGGUGAGUAACGCGUAGGUAACCUGCCUGGUAGCGGGGGAUAACUAUUGGAAACGAUAGCUAAUACCGCAUAAGAGUAGAUGUUGCAUGACAUUUGCUUAAAAGGUGCAAUUGCAUCACUACCAGAUGGACCUGCGUUGUAUUAGCUAGUUGGUGGGGUAACGGCUCACCAAGGCGACGAUACAUAGCCGACCUGAGAGGGUGAUCGGCCACACUGGGACUGAGACACGGCCCAGACUCCUACGGGAGGCAGCAGUAGGGAAUCUUCGGCAAUGGACGGAAGUCUGACCGAGCAACGCCGCGUGAGUGAAGAAGGUUUUCGGAUCGUAAAGCUCUGUUGUAAGAGAAGAACGAGUGUGAGAGUGGAAAGUUCACACUGUGACGGUAUCUUACCAGAAAGGGACGGCUAACUACGUGCCAGCAGCCGCGGUAAUACGUAGGUGGCAAGCGUUAUCCGGAUUUAUUGGGCGUAAAGAGAGUGCAGGCGGUUUUCUAAGUCUGAUGUGAAAGCCUUCGGCUUAACCGGAGAAGUGCAUCGGAAACUGGAUAACUUGAGUGCAGAAGAGGGUAGUGGAACUCCAUGUGUAGCGGUGGAAUGCGUAGAUAUAUGGAAGAACACCAGUGGCGAAGGCGGCUAUCUGGUCUGCAACUGACGCUGAGACUCGAAAGCAUGGGUAGCGAACAGG
rnacentral:rRNA from 1 species